rnacentral:rRNA from 1 species
GAUGAACGCUAGCGGCAGGCCUAACACAUGCAAGUCGGACGGUAACAUGGAUUGCUUGCAAUCUGAUGACGAGUGGCGCACGGGUGCGUAACGCGUAUACAAUCUGCCUUUUGCUGAGGGAUAGCCCGAAGAAAUUUGGAUUAACCCCUCAUGGUAUCAUAUUAAGGCAUCUUAAUAUGAUUAAAGGUUACGGCAAAAGAUGAGUAUGCGUUCUAUUAGCUAGUAGGUGUGGUAACGGCACACCUAGGCUACGAUAGAUAGGGGCCCUGAGAGGGGGAUCCCCCACACUGGUACUGAGACACGGACCAGACUCCUACGGGAGGCAGCAGUGAGGAAUAUUGGUCAAUGGGCGCAAGCCUGAACCAGCCAUGCCGCGUGCAGGAAGACUGCCCUAUGGGUUGUAAACUGCUUUUAUACAGGAAGAAACACUCCCACGUGUGGGGGCUUGACGGUACUGUAAGAAUAAGGAUCGGCUAACUCCGU